CUUCGCGCUCCCUCGUGUCACGAGGGAGCCAGGGUGGGCGGUCUCCUAUUGUACUUGGCUUUUGAAUUUUCGCUUUUGCAGCACAAAGGUCUCUCCUGCCACCUUGUGAAGAAGGCAUCUGCUUCCCCUUCACCUUUCUCCAUGAUCGUAAGCUUCCUAAGGCCUCCAAAGCCAUGCAGAACUGCUGGAGUGCAGUGGUGCGAUCUUGGCUCACGGCAACCUC
rnacentral:lncRNA from 1 species